rnacentral:rRNA from 1 species
UACGGAAGGCAGCAGUGGGGAAUAUUGCACAAUGGGCGCAAGCCUGAUGCAGCCAUGCCGCGUGUAUGAAGAAGGCCUUCGGGUUGUAAAGUACUUUCAGUCGUGAGGAAGGUGUUAAGGUUAAUAACCUUAGCAAUUGACGUUAGCGACAGAAGAAGCACCGGCUAACUCCGUGCCAGCAGCCGCGGUAAUACGGAGGGUGCGAGCGUUAAUCGGAAUUACUGGGCGUAAAGGGCACGCAGGCGGUUAAUUAAGUUGGAUGUGAAAUCCCCGGGCUUAACCUGGGAAUGGCAUUCAAGACUGGUUAGCUAGAGUCUUGUAGAGGGGGUAGAAUUCCAUGUGUAGCGGUGAAAUGCGUAGAGAUGUGGAGGAAUACCGGUGGCGAAGGCGGCCCCCGGACAAAGACUGGACGCUCAUGUGCGAAAGCGUGGGGAGCAAACGAGGGAUUAGAUACC